rnacentral:ncRNA from 2 species
CGUAGUUCUCAGGGCGGGGUGAAACUCCCCACCGGCGGUAACGGACAGCAAUGCCCGGAGCCCGCGAGCGCUUCCGGUUUCACGCCGGAAGGUCAGCAGAUCCGGUUGAAUUCCGGAGCCGACGGUCACAGUCCGGAUGGAAGAGAGCAAAC